AUUGAACGCUGGCGGCAUGCCUUACACAUGCAAGUCGAACGGCAGCACGGGAGCAAUCCUGGUGGCGAGUGGCGAACGGGUGAGUAAUGUAUCGGAACGUGCCCAUUCGUGGGGGAUAACGUAGCGAAAGCUACGCUAAUACCGCAUACGAUCUAUGGAUGAAAGCGGGGGAUCGCAAGACCUCGCGCGAUUGGAGCGGCCGAUAUCAGAUUAGGUAGUUGGUGGGGUAAAGGCCCACCAAGCCGACGAUCUGUAGCUGGUCUGAGAGGACGACCAGCCACACUGGAACUGAGACACGGUCCAGACUCCUACGGGAGGCAGCAGUGGGGAAUUUUGGACAAUGGGCGAAAGCCUGAUCCAGCCAUUCCGCGUGCAGGAUGAAGGCCCUCGGGUUGUAAACUGCUUUUGUACAGAACGAAAAGGUUUCUACUAAUACUAGGAGCUCAUGACGGUACUGUAAGAAUAAGCACCGGCUAACUACGUGCCAGCCGCCGCGGUAA
rnacentral:rRNA from 1 species